UGACAGAAGCCGUUUAAUCCCAGCAC
rnacentral:piRNA from 1 species